UCCUGCCUGCCUGCCAGAGCAGCUCUGCUCCCUGCGCCCUGUGUGUGUUGCCCUGCCUGGGCACCACCCUGGGCCGAGAGGUGAGCCAGCAAAGCCUCUCCUCCUUUCGGGGCAGCAGCGUGGAAGGCAGGGAUGACCAGCCGUCCUCGCUGACCGGCGUGGGCGGGGAGCGGACCGACGGCUGCUUGCACGGGUACUUCCCAAAGGCCAAGGCAGCAACAACGGCCAGCAGCAACACAGGUCACGUCACUGCCGCUGGACACCGGCCCUGCGCCCACAGCAGGGCACACAGGGCGGCCUGACGCGCUCCCCGGGACUGCGAUCCGCCACCUCCCUCGGCUCAGGUGGCCGCUACACAAUCAGCCUGACCAUCUGCACCUCAGCCAGGUGCCGCAGCUCUCCCAUGAGGCAGAGGCCCAGCAACUCCUAAGAACCUACAGUGCCCCUCAACAAGUGCCCAGUGAUGGGCUGGGCCUGUCUUACACGGGCAUAUGUCUGAGUGUUACUGAGACCGUGUCCCUCUGCUAGCCCAGCCACAGCCCUGCAGGGCCCCAGGGGUCAGGAGAAAGAGCCCCAGCUGGGCCGGUACUGGCCACCUUCUCUGAUGGGCAGGUUGCUGAACCUCACCAUGCUGCUGUUGUGCCCAUUUUACGGAGGGGAAAAAUGAGGUUUGAAGUCACCAAGCUGAGAGGCAGUAACCAAUAAGCCCACAGAAGGUUAGCACCCUAGGCACUAGGGAGCUGCAGAUCAAAGUCACAGUCACCUCACAACCACCAGGGCGGCCAGCAUUGGGAGCGGCAGAGGACCAGGGCGUACAGUCACUGCUGGUGGGAGUGUCAUGUGUGUGCCCACCGGAACGACAGCAGAUGGGUCUUCAAAAGGCUAUAACAAAGUCAGGUUGAGUGGCACACUCUUGUAAUCCCUGGACUUUGGUAGGCUGAAGCAGGAGCAUUGCAAAUUCAAGCCCAGCCACACUUCGCCUAUCUUAGUCACUUUCUUGUCACCGGGACAAAUAGGGGUACCAGCAGUUUAAAGGAGGAGAGGGCUCUUGUGGCUCACGUUUCAGUUUCUUGUUCACGUUUCCGGUGGCACAGCAGAGAGGUGUGGCGGAGGAGAGCUCACCACCGCGGCGUCCCGGAAGCAGGAGAGAAGGGCGGAGCCAGGGAGGGAGGGGACCCCUUUAAGCUACGCCCACAGCGCCGCCUCUUCCAGCAGACCACGCCUCCUAACCCGAAGGUGACCCAAUCACCUCUCAAGGCCCUGCCCAUGACCCCAUGAUGCUCCUCCAGGACAGGGAGAGAAAGCUCGGAUUGGAGGACCUCGAUAAAAACCACACUGCCUCGGAGAGCUACGAACUCUCCGACCCAGCCACUUCACCUGUGACAGGCCCGGAGGGAAGGAAACCGGCUCGCUCGGAGGGGCCACAGCGGCGAGUCCUGACAGCAAGGAAGAGGAAUGACGCAGUGUGCAUCCGCUGACGGGUGGGUCCGUGGGAAUGUGCGUGUCCAUACCACGGAUCUGGUUUGGCAGGAGGAAGAAAUGAAGUACUGACACAGGCAACUCGGUGGACAACCUCAGAAUUGUUACCCCAGCGGGGGCAUGUGGCACACACCUGCCAGCCCAGCACUCUGGAGGCUGAGGUAGGAGGAUCACCCCGAGUUGGAGGCCAG